GGUUAAGCGACUAAGCGUACACGGUGGAUGCCCUGGCAGUCAGAGGCGAUGAAGGACGUGCUAAUCUGCGAUAAGCGUCGGUAAGGUGAUAUGAACCGUUAUAACCGGCGAUUUCCGAAUGGGGAAACCCAGUGUGAUUCGUCACACUAUCAUUAACUGAAUCCAUAGGUUAAUGAGGCGAACCGGGGGAACUGAAACAUCUAAGUACCCCGAGGAAAAGAAAUCAACCGAGAUUCCCCCAGUAGCGGCGAGCGAACGGGGAGCAGCCCAGAGCCUGAAUCAGUGUGUGUGUUAGUGGAAGCGUCUGGAAAGGCGCGCGAUACAGGGUGACAGCCCCGUACACAAAAAUGCACAUGCUGUGAGCUCGAUGAGUAGGGCGGGACACGUGGUAUCCUGUCUGAAUAUGGGGGGACCAUCCUCCAAGGCUAAAUACUCCUGACUGACCGAUAGUGAACCAGUACCGUGAGGGAAAGGCGAAAAGAACCCCGGCGAGGGGAGUGAAAAAGAACCUGAAACCGUGUACGUACAAGCAGUGGGAGCACGCUUAGGCGUGUGACUGCGUACCUUUUGUAUAAUGGGUCAGCGACUUAUAUUCUGUAGCAAGGUUAACCGAAUAGGGGAGCCGAAGGGAAACCGAGUCUUAACUGGGCGUUAAGUUGCAGGGUAUAGACCCGAAACCCGGUGAUCUAGCCAUGGGCAGGUUGAAGGUUGGGUAACACUAACUGGAGGACCGAACCGACUAAUGUUGAAAAAUUAGCGGAUGACUUGUGGCUGGGGGUGAAAGGCCAAUCAAACCGGGAGAUAGCUGGUUCUCCCCGAAAGCUAUUUAGGUAGCGCCUCGUGAAUUCAUCUCCGGGGGUAGAGCACUGUUUCGGCAAGGGGGUCAUCCCGACUUACCAACCCGAUGCAAACUGCGAAUACCGGAGAAUGUUAUCACGGGAGACACACGGCGGGUGCUAACGUCCGUCGUGAAGAGGGAAACAACCCAGACCGCCAGCUAAGGUCCCAAAGUCAUGGUUAAGUGGGAAACGAUGUGGGAAGGCCCAGACAGCCAGGAUGUUGGCUUAGAAGCAGCCAUCAUUUAAAGAAAGCGUAAUAGCUCACUGGUCGAGUCGGCCUGCGCGGAAGAUGUAACGGGGCUAAACCAUGCACCGAAGCUGCGGCAGCGACGCUUAUGCGUUGUUGGGUAGGGGAGCGUUCUGUAAGCCUGUGAAGGUGUGCUGUGAGGCAUGCUGGAGGUAUCAGAAGUGCGAAUGCUGACAUAAGUAACGAUAAAGCGGGUGAAAAGCCCGCUCGCCGGAAGACCAAGGGUUCCUGUCCAACGUUAAUCGGGGCAGGGUGAGUCGACCCCUAAGGCGAGGCCGAAAGGCGUAGUCGAUGGGAAACAGGUUAAUAUUCCUGUACUUGGUGUUACUGCGAAGGGGGGACGGAGAAGGCUAUGUUGGCCGGGCGACGGUUGUCCCGGUUUAAGCGUGUAGGCUGGUUUUCCAGGCAAAUCCGGAAAAUCAAGGCUGAGGCGUGAUGACGAGGCACUACGGUGCUGAAGCAACAAAUGCCCUGCUUCCAGGAAAAGCCUCUAAGCAUCAGGUAACAUCAAAUCGUACCCCAAACCGACACAGGUGGUCAGGUAGAGAAUACCAAGGCGCUUGAGAGAACUCGGGUGAAGGAACUAGGCAAAAUGGUGCCGUAACUUCGGGAGAAGGCACGCUGAUAUGUAGGUGAAGUCCCUCGCGGAUGGAGCUGAAAUCAGUCGAAGAUACCAGCUGGCUGCAACUGUUUAUUAAAAACACAGCACUGUGCAAACACGAAAGUGGACGUAUACGGUGUGACGCCUGCCCGGUGCCGGAAGGUUAAUUGAUGGGGUCAGCGCAAGCGAAGCUCUUGAUCGAAGCCCCGGUAAACGGCGGCCGUAACUAUAACGGUCCUAAGGUAGCGAAAUUCCUUGUCGGGUAAGUUCCGACCUGCACGAAUGGCGUAAUGAUGGCCAGGCUGUCUCCACCCGAGACUCAGUGAAAUUGAACUCGCUGUGAAGAUGCAGUGUACCCGCGGCAAGACGGAAAGACCCCGUGAACCUUUACUAUAGCUUGACACUGAACAUUGAGCCUUGAUGUGUAGGAUAGGUGGGAGGCUUGGAAGUGUGGACGCCAGUCUGCAUGGAGCCGACCUUGAAAUACCACCCUUUAAUGUUUGAUGUUCUAACGUUGACCCGUAAUCCGGGUUGCGGACAGUGUCUGGUGGGUAGUUUGACUGGGGCGGUCUCCUCCUAAAGAGUAACGGAGGAGCACGAAGGUUGGCUAAUCCUGGUCGGACAUCAGGAGGUUAGUGCAAUGGCAUAAGCCAGCUUGACUGCGAGCGUGACGGCGCGAGCAGGUGCGAAAGCAGGUCAUAGUGAUCCGGUGGUUCUGAAUGGAAGGGCCAUCGCUCAACGGAUAAAAGGUACUCCGGGGAUAACAGGCUGAUACCGCCCAAGAGUUCAUAUCGACGGCGGUGUUUGGCACCUCGAUGUCGGCUCAUCACAUCCUGGGGCUGAAGUAGGUCCCAAGGGUAUGGCUGUUCGCCAUUUAAAGUGGUACGCGAGCUGGGUUUAGAACGUCGUGAGACAGUUCGGUCCCUAUCUGCCGUGGGCGCUGGAGAACUGAGGGGGGCUGCUCCUAGUACGAGAGGACCGGAGUGGACGCAUCACUGGUGUUCGGGUUGUCAUGCCAAUGGCACUGCCCGGUAGCUAAAUGCGGAAGAGAUAAGUGCUGAAAGCAUCUAAGCACGAAACUUGCCCCGAGAUGAGUUCUCCCUGACUCCUUGAGAGUCCUGAAGGAACGUUGAAGACGACGACGUUGAUAGGCCGGGUGUGUAAGCGCAGCGAUGCGUUGAGCUAACCGGUACUAAUGAACCGUGAGGCUUAACCUU
rnacentral:rRNA from 1 species